UACGGAGGGUGCAAGCGUUAUCCGGAUUCACUGGGUUUAAAGGGUGCGUAGGUGGGCAAGUAAGUCAGUGGUGAAAUCUCCGGGCUUAACCCGGAAACUGCCAUUGAUACUAUUUGUCUUGAAUACUGUGGAGGUCAGCGGAAUAUGUCAUGUAGCGGUGAAAUGCAUAGAUAUGCCAUAGAACACCAAUUGCGAAGGCAGCUGGCUAGACCUGUAUUGACGCUGAGGCACGAAAGCGUGGGGAGCGAACAGG
rnacentral:rRNA from 1 species